AUUGAACGCUGGCGGCAGGCCUAACACAUGCAAGUCGAACGAGUGGCGGACGGGUGAGUAAUGUCUGGGAAACUGCCUGAUGGAGGGGGAUAACUACUGGAAACGGUAGCUAAUAUCGCAUACCAUCAGAUGUGCCCAGAUGGGAUUAGCUAGUAGGUGGGGUAACGGCUCACCUAGGCGACGAUCCCUAGCUGGUCUGAGAGGAUGACCAGCGACACUGGAACUGAGACACGGUCCAGACUCCAACGGGAGGCAGCAGUGGGGAAUAUUGCACAAUGGGCGCAAGCCUGAUGCGGCCAUGCCGCGUGUAUGAAAAAGGCCUUCGGGUUGUGAAGUACUUUCAGCGGGGAGGCGUUACCCGCAGAAGAAGCACCGGCUAACUCCGUGCCAGCAGCCGCGGUAAUUG
rnacentral:rRNA from 1 species